rnacentral:rRNA from 1 species
GUUGUCUUUGACUUCUAAUUUUGAUUUGAUGUCGAUCUACUUUUGGUUGUCUGAAAGGGCUUCCAUUAGUUUACUGUGAAAAAUUAGGUGUUUAAAGCAGCAUUAUUGCCAGAUAUUUCAGCAUGGGAUAAUAGAAUAUGACAAUGUCGUAUUUUUGUUGGUUUCUACGCUAUGUAUGAUUACAGGGACAGUCGGUGUGACUUGUAUUGGCUCGCUAGGGGGUGAAACCUAUGAUUGAGUCAAGACAAACUACUGCGAAAGCAUUUCACAAGGGAUGUUUUCAUUAAUCAAGAACGAAAGUUGGGGGAUCGAAGAUGAUCAGAUACCGUCGUAGUCUCAACUGUAAACUAUGUCGACUAAAGAUUGGGGAAUAUUACAUGGAUGAUUUUCCCAGCAUUUUAUGCGAAAGCAAAGUAUUCAGACUCUGGGGGGAGUAUGGUCGCAAGGCUGAAACUUAAAGGAAUUGACGGAAGGGCACCACCAGGCGUGGAAUCUGCGGCUUAAUUUGACUCAACACGGGGAAACUUACCGGGUCCGGACUUUACGAGGAUUGACAGAUUAAAAGCUCUUUCUUGAUUUAAAGGAUGGUGGUGCAUGGCCGUUUUUAGUUGGUGGAUCGAUUUGUCUGGUUAAUUCCGAAAACGAACGAGACCUUAACCUAUUAACUAGUUGUAUUGUAUGAUCCAAAAAGAUUAUUUACGGUAAUUAUUAUUGAAACUUCUUAAAGGGACUCUACGUA